rnacentral:rRNA from 1 species
ACUGAAACAUCUAAGUACCCCGAGGAAAAGAAAUCAACCGAGAUUCCCCCAGUAGCGGCGAGCGAACGGGGAGGAGCCCAGAGCCUGAAUCAGUGUGUGUGUUAGUGGAAGCGUCUGGAAAGGCGUGCGAUACAGGGUGACAGCCCCGUACACAAAAAUGCACAUAUUGUGAGCUCGAUGAGUAGGGCGGGACACGUGGUAUCCUGUCUGAAUAUGGGGGGACCAUCCUCCAAGGCUAAAUACUCCUGACUGACCGAUAGUGAACCAGUACCGUGAGGGAAAGGCGAAAAGAACCCCGGCGAGGGGAGUGAAAAAGAACCUGAAACCGUGUACGUACAAGCAGUGGGAGCCUCUUAAUGGGGUGACUGCGUACCUUUUGUAUAAUGGGUCAGCGACUUAUAUUCUGUAGCAAGGUUAACCGAAUAGGGGAGCCGAAGGGAAACCGAGUCUUAACUGGGCGUUAAGUUGCAGGGUAUAGACCCGAAACCCGGUGAUCUAGCCAUGGGCAGGUUGAAGGUUGGGUAACACUAACUGGAGGACCGAACCGACUAAUGUUGAAAAAUUAGCGGAUGACUUGUGGCUGGGGGUGAAAGGCCAAUCAAACCGGGAGAUAGCUGGUUCUCCCCGAAAGCUAUUUAGGUAGCGCCUCGUGAAUUCAUCUCCGGGGGUAGAGCACUGUUUCGGCAAGGGGGUCAUCCCGACUUACCAACCCGAUGCAAACUGCGAAUACCGGAGAAUGUUAUCACGGGAGACACACGGCGGGUGCUAACGUCCGUCGUGAAGAGGGAAACAACCCAGACCGCCAGCUAAGGUCCCAAAGUCAUGGUUAAGUGGGAAACGAUGUGGGAAGGCCCAGACAGCCAGGAUGUUGGCUUAGAAGCAGCCAUCAUUUAAAGAAAGCGUAAUAGCUCACUGGUCGAGUCGGCCUGCGCGGAAGAUGUAACGGGGCUAAACCAUGCACCGAAGCUGCGGCAGCGACACUAUGUGUUGUUGGGUAGGGGAGCGUUCUGUAAGCCUGUGAAGGUGGCCUGUGAGGGUUGCUGGAGGUAUCAGAAGUGCGAAUGCUGACAUAAGUAACGAUAAAGCGGGUGAAAAGCCCGCUCGCCGGAAGACCAAGGGUUCCUGUCCAACGUUAAUCGGGGCAGGGUGAGUCGACCCCUAAGGCGAGGCCGAAAGGCGUAGUCGAUGGGAAACAGGUUAAUAUUCCUGUACUUGGUGUUACUGCGAAGGGGGGACGGAGAAGGCUAUGUUGGCCGGGCGACGGUUGUCCCGGUUUAAGCGUGUAGGCUGGUUUUCCAGGCAAAUCCGGAAAACCAAGGCUGAGGCGUGAUGA